rnacentral:rRNA from 1 species
AUUGAACGCUGGCGGCAGGCCUAACACAUGCAAGUCGAGCGGAUGAAGGGAGCUUGCUCCUGGAUUCAGCGGCGGACGGGUGAGUAAUGCCUAGGAAUCUGCCUGGUAGUGGGGGAUAACGUCCGGAAACGGGCGCUAAUACCGCAUACGUCCUGAGGGAGAAAGUGGGGGAUCUUCGGACCGCACGCUAUCAGAUGAGCCUAGGUCGGAUUAGCUAGUUGGUGGGGUAAAGGCCUGCCAGGGCGACGAUCCGUAACUGGUCUGAGAGGAUGAUCGGUCACACUGGAACUGAGGCACGGUCCAGACACCUACGGGAGGCAGCAGUGGGGAAUAUUGGACGAUGGGCGAAAGCCUGAUCCAGCCAUGCCGCGUGUGUGAAGAAGGUCUUCGGAUUGUAAAGCGCUUUAAGUUGGGAGGAAGGGCAGUAAGUUAAUACCUUGCUGUUUUGACGUUACCAACAGAAUAAGCACCGGCUAACUUCGUG